rnacentral:rRNA from 1 species
GGGCAAGCGUUAUCCGGAAUUACUGGGUGUAAAGGGAGAGUAGGCGGCAAGGUAAGCGAUAUGUGAAAGCCUUAGGCUUAACCAAAGGAUGGCAUAACGAACUAUCUAGCUAGAGUACAGGAGAGGAAAGCGGAAUUCCUAGUGUAGCGGUGAAAUGCGUAGAUAUUAGGAAGAACACCAGUGGCGAAGGCGGCUUUCUGGACUGAAACUGACGCUGAGGCUCGAAAGCGUGGGGAGCGAACA